GAUGAACGCUGGCGGCGUGCCUAAUACAUGCAAGUCGAGCGAACAGACGAGGAGCUUGCUCCUCUGACGUUAGCGGCGGACGGGUGAGUAACACGUGGAUAACCUACCUAUAAGACUGGGAUAACUUCGGGAAACCGGAGCUAAUACCGGAUAAUAUAUUGAACCGCAUGGUUCAAUAGUGAAAGACGGUUUUGCUGUCACUUAUAGAUGGAUCCGCGCCGCAUUAGCUAGUUGGUAAGGUAACGGCUUACCAAGGCAACGAUGCGUAGCCGACCUGAGAGGGUGAUCGGCCACACUGGAACGGGGACACGGUCCAGACUCCUACGGGAGGCAGCAGUAGGGAAUCUUCCGCAAUGGGCGAAAGCCUGACGGAGCAACGCCGCGUGAGUGAUGAAGGUCUUCGGAUCGUAAAACUCUGUUAUUAGGGAAGAACAAAUGUGUAAGUAACUAUGCACGUCUUGACGGUACCUAAUCAGAAAGCCACGGCUAACUACGUG
rnacentral:rRNA from 1 species